rnacentral:rRNA from 1 species
AGCCGGCGAUGUCCGAAUGGGGAAACCCAGUGCAAUUCGUUGCACUAUCGUUAACUGAAUACAUAGGUUAACGAGGCGAACCGGGGGAACUGAAACAUCUAAGUACCCCGAGGAAAAGAAAUCAACCGAGAUUCCCCCAGUAGCGGCGAGCGAACGGGGAGCAGCCCAGAGUCUGAAUCAGCUUGUGUGUUAGUGGAACGGUCUGGAAAGUCCGACGGUACAGGGUGAUAGUCCCGUACACCAAAAUGCACAGGCUGUGAACUCGAAGAGUAGGGCGGGACACGUGGUAUCCUGUCUGAAUAUGGGGGGACCAUCCUCCAAGGCUAAAUACUCCUGACUGACCGAUAGUGAACCAGUACCGUGAGGGAAAGGCGAAAAGAACCCCGGCGAGGGGAGUGAAAAAGAACCUGAAACCGUGUACGUACAAGCAGUGGGAGCACCUU